UCUUCAGAAUUGUACAUACACUGUAUAAAAAGACAUAGUGAGUUUUUUUUCUCACUGUCUGAAAUGAAAUCAGAUUAAACUUUUCCUGUUUUAGGUAAAUUUGGAUGAUUAAAACUAUUUCUAUUUGCUAAAUGCCAGAAUAAUGAGAGAAUGAUUUUUUUUAGACAAUUUCUUGUUACUUUCUUGAAAGUCAGAAGUUUAUAUACAUUUCAUUAGUAUUUAGUACCAUUGUGUUUAAACUGUAUGACUUGGGUCAAACCUUUUAAAUAUCCUUCCACAAGCUUUUCACAAUAGUUGGCAGAAUUUUGGCCCAUUCCCCGCGACAGAACUGAUGUAACUGAUCCAAGUUUGCUCGCACAUGCCUUUUCAGCUCUGCCCAUACAUUUUCAAUAGGAUUGAGAUCGGGCUUUGUGAUGGCCACUCCAAAAUAUUGUUCUUUGUUCUUUCCUCAUGAUGCCAUCUGUUUUGUGAAAUGCACCAGUCCCUCCUGCAGCAAAACAACCCCACAACACGGGGUUGCAACCGCCGUAUUUCAUAGUUGGGAUGGUGUUCUCAGAGUAAUGGCUUCUUCCUGGCAGAGCGGCCUUUCAGCCCAUGUCGGUGGGCUGACACACUCUUACAGCUUCAGCCAGCAUCUUCACAAGGUGAAGUCCAGGAGAAUAAAGACAACUGAGAGAAGACUGAGAGUUCCAUGAGUGUCCGCAGACAUCAUUGUUGGUACAAAGGCAGAACACACACAUGACCUGAAUGUGUGCAUGCGUGUUGCAGUCGUCACAGUAGCUUUGGAGCAUCUGAGCAGGACAUGGACCAUUCAGGAUCAGUAGAACAGAUCUGUAAAAAGAAUUAUGUGAAUGGAUAUGUGUGAGAAAGCACCAUGACUAAUCAUGAGCAAUGUUUUGAGGUAAACUUUGACCAAGACACAUAGCAUUUAUAACACUUAUUUUUGAAAAAGACAAUUACAUGAAAAACCCAUGCAUACUUACUCAAUGACUGAGAAUGAUGACUUGAAAACAUGAAUGGUAGUAGACAGCACUUGGAUGUUUUUGUGGUUUAACACGAUUUGCCAAAGCAGCCUACAACUUGAAAUCCAGGUGUUUGAGCAGGAAAUGGAUGAAGUAGAUGAGUCUGUGACUGGAGCCUGAGUGCCUGAGUUAUGGGGUCCCUGUGAAGCUGUGCAUUCAAACAUGACAGAGCUGUUAGCUACGUGCUACUACUCAGCAUGUUUAUUCUUUGCACAGGUUUACAUGUUUACAUAUAUGCACAAUUGCACAAAUUACGUGUGGAUUUUUCUCAAUAUAUAACCAAACUGUAACUCAUAACCAGCUAUGUUUAUGCUGAUGAAACCUCAAACAUACACAUACACUCUGGUUUAGCUGUUUUUGUAGGCGCAAACAUUUGAUACUAAACAAUAAUGUGCAGGUUGUACAAUUCCAACCUCCACUUAAUGGUUGUGAUAUACUGUUUACAGGUUCAUAGUUGAACUGAUCCUAAUUUUUUAAAUCAUACAUUUUGCACACUUGUGGAUUCAAACACAAGCGAGUAGUUAGCUACUUGCUGUUACUCAGCGUGUUUGUUAUCUGCACAGGCACAGAGCAGAGCAGAUUUUCUCAUUUUGAUCCACUGGUGUUAGAGCACCCUCUUAUGACGCAAAUUGGUACUGUUGUAAUUAAAACUGUCUAUGUUGUUACUUACAUGUUCAAAUAUUAAAAUGCAAAGGGAAUGUCUGUUAACAUUAUGAACUAUGUAUUCAUACAUAUGCAUAACAUUCAGUAUGUUUUUUUGAAAAUAAGACAUACUUACAUAGCAGGAUUCCUCUUCUGGGACAGCUGACCUCUGACCUGUCUGGUUGUCUGUGAAUGCCUGUGCCACUGGCCACGAGCCUCUCAAUGGAACGUAGUGUGUUUCACAACAGUGCACAUACUUUUGGUUAACAGGUAAAAGACAAGAUACAUGCCUUCA